rnacentral:ncRNA from 1 species
UUAGAAGCGAUGAACAAGAGGAGUAGGCAGUGUAACUUGAUAGAGAUGGAAAACCGCAGGCUGGAAGUUUUCCUCAGGUUUAAUGCUGUUGAAGGUAGCUUGGGAGCUCUGUAGCUGAAUACCGUUAAUUUAACGUGUGAGUAAGCUGCAGCGGUGGAGGUCCGUUACAGCCCGUACUUUGAAAAAGCUGCUAUGCGGCUUUGGAGAAGGAGAUGAGCUGCCCUGUAUAGGGAAUUUUGGUGGUACCGCGGAAUUUAAACUUUCGUCCAAUAU